rnacentral:rRNA from 1 species
AUGGAGUCGCCGCCACACAAGCUCAACGUCGGCCGAGAUGAGGACCGAAUCAGCGCGCUCACCGACGACCUCCUCCUCGGAAUCCUCGAGCGCCUCGACCUGCGCGACGCGGUCCGCGCCGGCGCAGUCUCCACGCGGUGGCGGCACCUCCCCCAUCGGCUCUCGCGCGUGCGCCUCGACGUCCGCCAGUUCCGCCGCGCCACGCUGGUGGAGACCAUGGACGCGUUCACGGGCGCUUUGCUCUCCGUGUUUCCUCCGGCCGAGGGCAACUGUGAAUGCCAGCGCGGCUAUGCCAUCAAGGCCCUCCGCCUCUCCUUCUAUCCUUUGAUCCAUCACCUGUGCUACAUCGGCCCUGCCGUCCAGGACGUGGUCAGCCGUGGCAAGACCGAAUGUCUCGAAUUUUGGAUAUCCCUGCCGAGUGCGGAAUACACUACCCGGCAGCUCGCUGACUUCGGCCGGCAAUUCAUGAUCUUCUCCGGUGCUUACAAGGUCGCUUUCCGGUGGCUCACAAGGCUAUUCCUCAAGGGCCUUGCGUUCUUGGGCGCUGACAUCACUGACCUAAUUAGCGCUUGCGAUAAGCUCAAGUGCCUCACCCUGAGAUCCUGCAGACUAGUUGAUCGGCACUCUGUGCUCAAGAUUGACACACCGUGUUCUGGGCUCCAGGAGCUUCAGUUCAUCCACUUUGUGUGCAUGCGGAUCGAGCUCAUCUCUGUCCCCAAGCUCAGUAAAGUGCACUGCCAUUUGUACUCCGAGAACCCUCUGGUUCGCUUUGGCUAUGUUCCAGAGCUUCGCGAAGUCAGUCUCACUUGUCAUGCCAAGGCGUGGCAGGCACCAUUCAUGCUGAGCGAGUGCUUGUCAAGGAGUGCAACGAACCUGUCGAAUGUGCAUCUCAAUUUUUGCCACGAAAUGAUUUGGAUUCAACCGGAACAUCCGAAGCAGCUUACUGCUAUAUUUAGAAAUCUGGCUGCCAUGUUUCUUUCUGCUGCACCUGCCCUGCAGAAGUUUACAAGGUGCUGGUUGCUUGCUGCUGUCCUGGAGAGGAGGGAAGAAGCUGCAGGAGAGGGAGGGGGAGGAGGAACUGCAGGAGAGUCAGGGGAGGAGGAUCUGCCGGAGAGGAGGGGGAGAAAAGCUCAGAUCCAGCCGCGAGAGGAGGGGGUUGGGGAAAACUUGGCUAGAGCUCUCUCUCCCCCUGCUAGUAACUGUUGGCGCCCAGACUCUGUUUCCCACCCCUUUCUUCCCGCACAGAGCUCUGUUUCCCGCCUGAACUCCCAGCCCUGUCCGAGGCAUCUUCAUUUGCCUAAGGCGAGAAUGGUGCCUAGGCGGACGCCUUACGCAUGCACAAUGGCUGAUAUAUUUAGGCCCUGUUCGGCAACCCGCCGGCUCCUUAAAAUACGUGGAGCUGCGGAGUGGAGGAACUACAGCUCCAUCCUUUUUAACUACAGCUCCGUCAGCUCCCGGAGCGGAGCGGCAGACUGGAGGGACUCCGAACAGGGCGUUAGUUUCAAUUGCUGUUACAUUGUCCUGCAUGGGUUGUUAUCUCGAACACGACUAUGUGCCAAAACGCCCGAGGACAAUGCCGAGAAGACCAACGUUGUGUGGGGACCAUCCAAGGAUUUCAAGCACUUCAACUUGAAGACACUCACAAUUCAAGGGUUCGAGGAGGAAGAAAAGGUGACAAACUAUAUAAGCCUAGUCAUGGAACGAGCUGUGGGGUUAAAGAGAAUCGUGCUGCUCGGUGAAUUCCCAUGCAAGGACUGCAACGACUGUGAAAGAAAAUGCCAGGUGGAUGAAGCUAGCAGGCGUCGGGUUAAGGAACAACUUGCCCAUGGAUCCUCCUCUUCCGUGGAGUUAAUUAUCUGCUGA